GGUGGAAACCCGGGUUUCCCGACCCUGGCACCGAAGGCUGGGGCUGCCCUUCCCCGCCCUACCGCUCACGGUGGCUGCAAAGCGCCCUGGGAGGCCAGCCCAAAGGCCGGGCUUGGGAAGCGCCUCGCUUACCUGCGGCUCCACCAGCCAGCGCUGCUCGGCGGCGCCCAGGGGCGCGGGGCGCGCGGCGCGGAACGCCGAGUACACGGGGAUACGGUCCCGGGUGCUGUACAGGGUGGCGAAGCGCUCGGCGCCCUCGGAGCGCUGACAGAUCUUCACGUGGGCAGCGGCCGCCAGCCCCGCGGGCGGGGUCCCAGCGUAGAAGAAUCGGUCGCAUUCGCCGAAGCCGGCUUCCUGCUCGCGCACGAGUCGGCCCUCCAACAGCCCGGCCAGAGCGAGGAGGCCGCCCAGCGCCAAGCAGCGCGCGGGGCCCAUGGCGCGUCUGCGGGCCGGGCCGGGAGAGCGCGAGGCCGCCGAGCGGGGCCGCGGCGGAGUCGGAAGCCGGGGGCGGCGCGGCUGAGCUAGCGCUCUGCGGGCCGGGCUGGGCGGCCCCGGCGACGGGGGCGGGUCCGCGUCCCGAGGCCGCGCCUCCCUCGCACCCUCCUCCCUGAAGAUGGCUGCGCAGGUCCGGGGCCGGGCGCGGGGACUUGCACCGCCUGGUUUCUGCAGUCUGCGGUCGGAGGCUCGGGGACGCGCGCUCCCAAGACUAAAAGGUAUGAACCGGGUCGGCUUAAUCGGAGGAAACGGGAAAGAACCGUCCCCGGGGCUGGGAGCCUAGAAGCCUCCUGCGCCAGCGCGCCCCAGGGAUCCUCAAGGAUGCAAAGAGGCGGCGUGAGAUGCCCUCAGAACUGUGGCUCUUUGGGUCUGAUGGGCAGGGAGACCCAGUGACACCCGACGGAAAUCAGCCUUCCCCUUCCCAACGAAAUGCUCAUCCGCCAAUACACGGACACAACUUUGAUGAAGUUUCAGCAGAUCAGAAGCCAGGAGACCCAAGUUAAAAAUCCUCUUCUAGGAAAUUCCUAACCUAGGGAAAUAGGACAGCUCUUGUGGUUUACUUGGUACUGCGAGGCUUAGAAUCAAAACCAAAACCAAGAAAGAAACGAGACCGGCCAACAUCACUGGUUGUGUGCCAUGUGGGGAACUGGACCAGAGCGUUCAGAUGCUUGUCCAAGAUGGCAUAUCCUGAGCCAGAUUUGAGCUAGGCCCGUCUGCUUCCUAAGCCUGGCCUUUCCUCUAAGUCACAGCAAAUCCAUGAGAUAUACUCACAUCAGCGCCAUGGUAACUCCAACAUUGCUGAUUGCAUCACAAUGGAAUCCAACUGGCUCUUCCAACUGUCUACUAAAAGGCCUCCUUUUUAAAGUUAUCAGCCCACGAAAGACAGUGUGCCACGUGGGGAACUGGACCAGAGCAUUCAGAUGCUUGUCCAAGAUGGCAUAAUCAGUGAGUCCUGAGCCAGAUUUGAGGCAGGCCCGUCUGCUUCCUAGGCCUGGCCUUUCCUCUAAGUCACAGCAAAUCCAUGAGCUUGUGGGAUCUUAGUUCCGUGACCAGGGAUCGAACCCAGUCCCCCUACAGUGGAAGCAUGGAGUCCUAAUCAUUGGACCACAAGGGAAUUCCCUGAUUGUGCAUAUUAAUCCCAGUAUUUCCCCUGUACCUAAUUGCUACCUUCCUCCUCAGACAUAAACAUAGUGCCUGCUAUACAGUAAGUAUUCAAUACAGUGAGUAAAUAAAUGAAUAAAAGAAAGGGAAAAAAAUCCCUUCCAUGAAAUUUCAUUUGGAGUCUCAUGGCUCUAGUUCAUUCAUUCAUUUUCAAAAUGUUUUAAAAACAUCUACCAUGAGCACUGGCUAGAUGCCGAGUGUUCAGGGAGGAACGAGGUUAGACUUGGUCCCUCUCUCAUGCCAGCACCUCGCAGGGCUCCAUGGGUAACCAGAAAAGAAAGCAGAAGUUAACUCAUGCUCUGCCUUAGACAGGGAAGGGCAAUGCUGGGGAACUUUCCCGCCACGAGUGAGUUCUGUAACGUAGAUUUCAUGCUGUGUCACCUCUAGCCCAGGGCAAGACAGAUACAGAACUUUGUACCACAGAACUUGAAGUAGUAGGGAAGACAGACAGACAGACCAGACAAAGGAGUUCUGAUACAGUGUGAGAAGCGCUCUUUAAGAGAGCUAUGUGCUAUGAGGGCAGAGAAGGGUCGCUGAAGCUAAUCUAGGGAGAAGUAGCUCUGGAAAGAGAGUAGCAAUGGGGUAAAAUCAUACUUAAUGAUGAGAUAUGUUGAAACUGUGGCUUGUAAACUGCAAUAAUGAUUCAAUUUCUAGGUCCCUGAAGCUACUUCUUAGUCACUCCUCUCUGUUGAUUGUCAAACACUUGUAUGAAAUUGACAGGUAAGGAGGAAUUAACCCUAUUUGGAUUAUGAGGAGAGGCAAGGAGGCUGAGGAGAAGCUCCUAUUUGGGUGAGGAUGCCUGAUUUAUUUUCCUAAUCAUGACUAAACGUAAGAAAGCAUACCAGGCUCAACCCUCAAGUGAGAAGCAGAAGGCCUCAGAGUCCAAAGUGGUGGUUGACACCGAAGCCCACCGGAGGCUGAAUCACGCUCUCCUGAAACUGUGGACAGAACUGUCUUCUUUCUAGCAAAGCUACACCUUGGAUGGUGUCUAGAAGUAACGCUAGACAACUGCAGUCCUCAUAGAAGGAGCCAUGUGUCCACAGGCGCACUCUCACCCCAUGAGCGUGCACUAAAACAGACAUAUGGUCCAUAGAACUCCUGAGCACUUCCGGAUUGCUCAGCUUUGGGAUAUUGGUCCAGAUGUUAGGGGACAACUGCAGACAGGAAUAACUUUGAGUCUCCUCAUGCAGAGAAAUAUUUAAAAUAACUUUUCUGAAACUUUUUUUUUUUGGCUUUCCUUAUCUGCAGGGAGAAGAGUGUGGUGGUUAUGAGCUGGGCCCUGGAGUUCGACUGUCUGGGUGCAAAUGCUGUGUGAUCCUGGGCACAUUGUGGAACCUCCCUAUGCCUCAGUUUUCUCAUCUACAAAAUGAGGAUAAGGAUAGAACCUACCUCCUAGAGUUGUUUUAAUUAUGACAACGUGCAUUAAUAUACCAGGAAAGAGAGAAGCUGCUCUUCAUACUUGGCCUGGAGUUGGUGGAAGCAUCUGGUACCCAUCCCUUUAUCUUAGCCAAGAUCUCAGAAAGAACCCGCUAUCCCUAAGAGAAGAUGCAAUAAACACAUUUUCUAAAUACCAGCAAGUUUCCAGUGAUGCUCUAGUGAACCUUGGAGACUGGUUCUAUAAACAACUCCUAAGCCUCCCCUACCAACUUUAAUUCAGCUCCACUCUGGACCCCAAAAGGCGUUUAUUCAGAUGGCAGACACGCAGACAUGAGUGAAUGUUAUGUAUUUAGACAGGGGAACAAAAGGAGCUUCCCUGGCCUUUUGUUUCUUGCUGAUUGCGUGUUCCCUUUUCAAAUAUAUUCGACUGUCAACCAGAGAAAGCAGAACAUUCUGUUCUAAACUCCCACGUUAAAAAUUUUCUUCAUUUUGAAU